rnacentral:rRNA from 1 species
AUACAACUUUCAGCAACGGAUCUCUUGGCUCUCGCAUCGAUGAAGAACGCAGCGAAAUGCGAUAAGUAAUGUGAAUUGCAGACCUCAGUGAAUCAUCGAAUCUUUGAACGCACCUUGCGCUCCUUGGUUUUAUUCCGAGGAGCAUGCCUGUUUG